rnacentral:rRNA from 1 species
UGCAUUAGAGUUUGAUCCUGGCUCACAUUGAACGCUGGCGGCGUGCCUAACACAUGCAAGUCGAGCGGUAACAGGUGUAUCAAUACAUGCUGACCAGCGGCGAACGGGUGAGUAAUGCUUCCGAAUCUACCUUAUGGUGGGGAAUAACUAGCCGAAAGGUUAGCUAAUACCGCAUACGUCCUACGGGAGAAAGCAGGGGAUCGUAAGACCUUGCGCCAAAAGAUGAGCCGAAGUCGGAUUAGCUAGUUGGUAGGGUAACGGCCUACCAAGGCGACGAUCCGUAGCUGGUCUGAGAGGGCACACGGCCACACUGGCACUGAAACACGGGCCAGACUCCUACGGGAGGCAGCAGUGGGGAAUCUUGCACAAUGGGGGAAACCCUGAUGCAUCGACGCCGCGUGAGCGAUGAAGCCCUUCGGGGUGUAAAGCUCUUUCGGCAGGGAAGAUUAUGACGGUACCUGCAGAAGCAGCUGCGGCUAACUACGUGCCAGCAGCCGCGGUAAUACGUAUGCAGCAAGCGUUGUUCGGAGUUACUGGGCGUAAAGGGUGUGUAAGCGGCUCUUUAAGUCUGGUGUGAAAUCUCCCGGCUCAACCGGGAGGGUGCGCCGAAUACUGAGAAGCUACAUCGCGGGGAGAGGAAAGUGGAAUUCCUGCUGUAGCGGUGAAAUGCGUAGAUAUCACGACGCACACCGGUUGGUGUAUACGGCUUUUCUGGACGUAACUGACGCUGAAACACGAAAGCCUGGGUAGCAAACAGGAUAAAAUACCCUGGGACUCCACGCCCUAAACGAUGCCUAUUUUGGGGUGGGGAAUCCAGUUGAUUCCGGCGGGAGCUACGCUUUAAAUUGCCCGCUGGGGGAGAAAGUCGCAGGUUC